rnacentral:lncRNA from 1 species
GGCAGAAAGUGACAUAGCAAGGAGACUCAUAUUUAAAGAAGGAGAAACAGGAAGCGUCCCUCUUUUCCCCUCCGCUCCUGCUCUAGCAGCACAAUGUGUUCCACCAGCAAGGAGGGACGCCAAUAAGGUGUCUGAUAAGAUCACCCUGUCACCCUCCACUCCAAAAGGAAAGUGAAUGAGCACCAAGAGGACAGCCAUAGAAGACCUUGUUCUUCCCAGUUCUCAGCAUAGUGGGAUGCUAGUACCAACUAGAAUUAACUGAUGCUGGUGGUGUGUGGAAUGGUGGUGAGAAGAGAAGAUGGGUACAGAAGGAAAGGGCAAAGCCCACACAAUCCGCCACUCUACCAGGGCCUAGUAACAGAUGGCACAGUUACUAGUGUUUAUGCAGAGGGCUAUCCAUACUAGAGGACAUUUGAUAGUGACAAUUGAUGCUGGUUAGCUGGGGCUGAAGAAUCAGCUGUGCCUAAGAAAAGACCAGCACCAUUGAAGACUGCAAAUUUGAAAGUGUUUCAUCAAAGUCAAUGCACAGAGGCUGCGGUCAAAAGAGAGUCAAGGCUGGCAGCCAAACAUGGAGCCCGAAGUUAAGAGAUUAUGGAGUUUCAG